GGGUAUAGCUCAAUGGUAGAGCACAUGCUUAGCAUGCACGAGGUCCUGGUUUCAAUCCCCAGUACCUCCA
rnacentral:tRNA from 1 species